rnacentral:rRNA from 1 species
CCUACGGGUGGCUGCAGUGGGGAAUAUUGCACAAUGGGGGAAACCCUGAUGCAGCGACGCCGCGUGAGUGAAGAAGGAAUUCGGUAUGUAAAGCUCUAUCAGCAGGGAAGAAAAUGACGGUACCUGAGUAAGAAGCCCCGGCGAACUACGUGCCAGCAGCCGCGGGAAUACGUAGGGGGCAAGAGUUAUCCGGAGUUACGGGGGGGAAAGGGAGCGGAGACGGCAGUGCAAGUCUGGAGUGAAAGGCGGGGGCUCAACCCCCGGACUGCUCUGGAAACUGCACGGCUGGAGUGCAGGAGAGGUAAGUGGAAUUCCUAGUGUAGCGGUGAAAUGCGUAGAUAUUAGGAGGAACACCAGUGGCGAAGGCGGCUUACUGGACUGUAACUGACGUUGAGGCUCGAAAGCGUGGGGAGCAAACAGGAUUAGAUACCCGAGUAGUC